rnacentral:rRNA from 1 species
GUCUUUUUGAAAUUUAAUAAAAAGUCUGACCUGCCCAGUGAUUAAUUUAACGGCCGCGGUAUAUUGACCGUGCAAAGGUAGCAUAAUCAUUAGUCUUUUAAAAGAGGGCUGGAAUGAAAGGUUUGACGAAGUAUAGACUGUCUCAUCUUAUUUGAAAUUAAAAUUUAACUUUUUAGUCAAAAGACUUAAAUUUAGUUGGAAGACGAGAAGACCCUAUAGAGCUUUAUAUUAAUUAUUUUAGUUAUUUAUAGAUAAUUUUUAACUUUUUUAAUUAUUAUUUCAUUGGGGUGAUGAAAAAAUAAGAUUAACUUUUUUAGUUAUGAAACAUUAAUAUAUGAAUAUUUGAUCCAUUAUUAUUGAUUAUUAGACUAAGUUACCUUAGGGAUAACAGCGUAAUCCUCCCCCAGAGUUCAUAUUCACGGGUAGGGCUUGCGACCUCGAUGUUGGAUUAAGAUAAUAAUUAGGUGUAGCCGCUUAAUUUAUAGGUCUGUUCGACCUUUAAAUUCUU